ACAUCCAAAAAACCCAAAAUGAAAACCUUAUCCCCACCCACAGACCCAAACCCAUUUCGCACCGUCCUCCUCCUCCAAUUGUAGCUUCUUCAUGCGCUCGGAGGUCGGGUCCCACAUAGGAGCAGAGGUUGGUCUUCCAUUCACGGUUUAUGUGUCUGUGGCUAUGGUUGAUUUGGGGAAGAAGGGAUUGUAGAGAGUGGGAGAGACAGAGAGAGACAGAGAGAUACAAAGAGAUAUGGAAGGGCAAAUCACUAGUAUACUAUUCCUUACUAUUCCUCAGUUCCCUCAACACCAUUGCGACGCUCAACAGUUCCGAUCCAGCGACGACAUCCGCUUGAAGAUAUUUCUUCGACGUCAGCUCUGCUCGGGCUUUCCAAUUUUAUUUUCAGUUCAAGGUACCCGUUGGAGAUAUUGAAUUGCUUUCUGAGCAAACUAAGAGAUGGCGAGUGAGGAAGAGAGUGCGGUGAAGGAGCCGUUGGAUCUGAUACGGCUCAGCCUCGACGAGCGCAUCUACGUCAAGCUCCGCUCCGACCGUGAGCUCCGCGGUAAACUCCAUGUACGUCUCCACACCCCUACCAUGCCUCUUACUCUGCUCUAAAUUAGGUUUUGUCUACUUUCUGAGUUGUUCUAAUUAGGGUUCUAGAUUUGGCAAAAACUAAAAAUGAAGAGAAAAGAAAGUUUAGGGUUUAAAGUAUGCUUCUUUAGUGUUAGGUGGUGAAUGGAAAUUAGGGUUCUUUCUUAUGAUAUGCGUAAAGUAUACAAUAACUGUUUUCUUUUAUUAUUUUCCAAGGAAAAGCCAUAACUUUUUUUAUUUAUUAUGCCUUUUCUAUAAUUGUCUGUUUUUGCGUUUGGGUUGAUUGAGAAAAGUGAUAUGAAUGAAUGAACUCGAGUCUUUUCAUUUUAUUGCAAUUCUAAGUAUUUUUGCUUCUAGUUUUUUGUAAGUUUUAAAUUUUCUUUCAAAUGUUGGAGCUUGUUGAGCAUGGAAAGAUACCUACAGUGGUUACUUUGACACUACUAUGAUUAUGGCACUGAUGAUGGUGGUCUAUUGGUGGUUAAUAUUAUAUAGUUUAUCAAUUCUAGAGUGAUGAUUUAGGUUGCUCUUUGCCUCAUCUUAUCAUGAAAUUAUACCUCACUAUAUUCUCCCAUUAACUGAUCUAGGCAAAAUGUGUGGCUGUAUAAGAAAUCUGUAGCCAUCUUUAUUGCUUUUUCAGAGUUAAAUCCUCUCUUUUCUUAUUAUUGAAUUCAAAUUUUAAAUUAUGUAAGCGGAUGGAUCUUGGGUGAUUCUGUUGACUUUUUGAGUAAGGAAUACUUCUUAGCCAGCAUUGCAAUUGUCAUAAGAGUUAUGCUAAGCCAACCAGUGAUGCUUUCCAAAUCAUCUUUCUUUUCCCCUUCACCUUUGUUUGCAUGUUCCUCAAAAGUACUUCUAAUCAAACAAGGAAUAAUAUGUCCUAAAGAACAGAAAAGAAAAAUUACAAGUUGCUGGUUCAGAAGGUUGUUAUGCGAGGACCAA